rnacentral:rRNA from 1 species
CUAGAUCAGAAGCGAGAAUGUUGACAUGAGUAGCGACAAACAGGGUGAGAAACCCUUUCGCCGAGAGUCCAAGGGUUCCUGCUUAAAGCUAAUCUGAGCAGGGUAAGCCGGCCCCUAAGGCGAGGCCGAAAGGCGUAGUCGAUGGGAACCAGGUUAAUAUUCCUGGGCCAGUGGGAUGUGACGGAUCGCAGAUGUAGUUUGCCCUUAUCGGAUUGGGUGGGCUGCUGAGCGGUUCCAGGAAAUAGCCCCACAUCAGACCGUACCCUAAACCGACACAGGUGGACUGGUAGAGUAUACCAAGGCGCUUGAGAGAACCACGUUAAAGGAACUCGGCAAAAUGCCUCCGUAAGUUCGCGAGAAGGAGGCCCCAUAUGUACGCAAGUAUGUGUGGGGGGCACAAACUAGGGGGUGGCGACUGUUUACUUAAAACACAGGGCUGUGCGAAGCCGUAAGGCGACGUAUACAGUCUGACGCCUGCCCGGUGCUGGAAGAUUAAGAGGAGGGGUGCAAGCUCUGAAUUGAAGUCCCAGUAAACGGCGGCCGUAACAAUAACGGUCCUAAGGUAGCGAAAUUCCCUGUCGGGUAAGUUCCGACCUGCACGAAUGGCGUAACGAUCUCCCCGCUGCCUCUAACGUGGACUCAGCGAAAUUGAACUGUGUGUCAAGAUGCACACUACCCGCGGUUAGACGGAAAGACCCCAUGAACCUUUACUCCAGCUUUGCACUGGUAUCAGGAUUGUGAUGUGCAGUAUAGGUGGUAGGCAUUGAAGCGGGGACGCCAGUCUUCGUGGAGCCUCCCUUGAGAUACCACCCUUCGCCAUCUUGAUAUCUAACCGCGGCCCGUUAUCCGGGUCCGGGACCCUGCAUGGUGGGGUGUUUGACUGGGGCGGUCGCCUCCCAAACAGUAACGGAGGCGCGCGAUGGUUGGCUCAGACCGGUCGGAAAUCGGUCGUUGAGUGCAAUGGCAGAAGCCAGCCUGACUGCAAGACUGACAAGUCGAGCAGAGACGAAAGUCGGUCAUAGUGAUCCGGUGGUCCCAAGUGGGAGGGCCAUCGCUCAACGGAUAAAAGGUACUCUGGGGAUAACAGGCUGAUGAUGCCCAAGAGUCCAUAUCGACGGCAUCGUUUGGCACCUCGAUGUCGGCUCAUCUCAUCCUGGGGCUGGAGCAGGUCCCAAGGGUAUGGCUGUUCGCCAUUUAAAGAGGUACGUGAGCUGGGUUUAGAACGUCGUGAGACAGUUCGGUCCCUAUCUGCCGUGGGUGCAGGAGACUUGAGAAGAGUUGACCCUAGUACGAGAGGACCGGGUUGAACGAACCACUGGUGGACCAGUUAUCGUGCCAACGGUAGUGCUGGGUAGCUAUGUUCGGACAGGAUAACCGCUGAAGGCAUCUAAGCGGGAAGCCCCCUUCAAAACAAGGUCUCCCUUGAGGGCCGUGGAAGACGACCACGUCGAUAGGCCAGAGGUGUAAGUGCAGCAAUGCAUUCAGCUGACUGGUACUAAUUGCUCAAAAA